UACUUGUUUGCUUAUAGGACAUAAGCCCAUCACAGGGCUUACCCAGCUGCCUUUGAGAAAUGUUUGGGGUCACAUUGGCUAAAAUUAAGUACUUUGUGGUGAACUGGAUUUGACUGGAACUAAAGGAUCGACUUCCAAGCUCACUCCUGUGGCUGUCGGCAGGAGGCUUCAGUUCCUUACCACAUAGACCUUUCCACAGCAUGAGGGCUCCAGUGUCUGCAGAUUUGACUGGAACUAGAGGAUCAACUUCCAAGCUGGAACUAGAGGAUCAACUUCCAAGCUCACUCCUAUGGGUGCUGGCAGGACGCUUCAGUUCCUCACCACAUAGACCUUUUCACAGCAUGGCUUCCUCUAAAUUCUCCUGGCCAACUCUUCAAUAGCACAGGUCCAAGACCGCCAUGACAUAGGAAUGGAUGAACAGUUGAUAUGGAUCAUGCGUGGGGGAUAGAAGGUGAACGUCGGUGAACAGGCUCGGUCAUCCCCUUCCCUGAGGUGCUUGCUUCCUUCCACUCAUGCCUUUGUGUGAUCUCGCCCCUUAAGUAUGGGCAGGGCUUCUGACUUGCUUCUGACCAACGGAACGUGGCAAAGUCAAUGGGAGGCCACUCUGUGAUGACGCUGGGUUAAAAAAGACCCU
rnacentral:lncRNA from 1 species